CCUUCGCCGGUGAGGGCUGCGCAAGCAGGAAGACCGGACGCGGAUUAGACGGCGAGUGCCGCGCCUCCUUGAAAACCCCGUCAGCC
rnacentral:sRNA from 1 species